rnacentral:lncRNA from 1 species
AUAAUCAUUGGGGUUUACAGCACAGUACAUCAUGUUGAUGGCUUUAGCGUUGUUCUCCACUUUUCUGAUAUCGUCCGCAUCGUAUUCAUCUUCGGAUUUAGGAACCAUUUCAUUUUCAACCUUUUUGGUUGGUAUUUGCUCUCCAUUCUUUAUAAUUUUUCACAGUAUAAAAUUAUUUGAUUGGAUGAAUAUUCUCAUCCUCUCCUUCCAAUAAGUGUAAUUGGUGCCAUCGAAG